rfam:Myotis davidii contig96157, whole genome shotgun sequence.
GCCGGUGUUGCUCAGUGGAUAGAGCAUCGGCCUGGAGAUCGAAGGGUCCCGGGUUCGAUUCCGGUCAAGGGCA